AAGAUUGCUCUAUCAGAGUGAGGUAGUAGAUUGUAUAGUUGUGGGGUAGUGAUUUUACCCUGUUCAGGAGAUAACUAUACAAUCUAUUGCCUUCCCUGAGGAGUAGAC
ensembl:miRNA microRNA let-7f-1